AUCGAAAGCCCAAGCUGAAUCCGUGGCCAUGUCGGCUGGCCACAUGGUGUGCGGAGUGGCAUUGGCACUAGGCACCGUCCUUCUGGGCUCCUCUUGCAUUACCGUGGUCACCGCCUCGCCGGAAGGUAAUUAAGCUGCGAAUGCCGGUGGUGAGCGAGGGUUGCUGCAAUAGGUUUUGUCGCCCAUUCGAUUCACCUCGCACGGACACGGGCAGCGGUUCGUCUCCGAGGACGGCGUCGUGAACGCCCGCGCGCGCGUGCUCGGCGGCGGCAGCUGCCUCAACGCCGGCUUCUACACCCGUGCCAGCGGUGGCUACGUGCGCGCCGCCGGGUGGGACCACCGCCUCGUCAACGCGUCCUACCGCUGGGUGGAGCGCGCGCUGGUGUUCCGCCCGGCCGUGCCGCAGUGGCAGCGCGCGCUGCGCGAGGGCCUCCUCCAGGCCUUCAUUUGACAGUCGGUCGAUCGAGGUGAUUGCGGGGGGCGACGUGCAUGCAGCCUUCAUUUGACAGUCGGCAUGCAUAUCAUACUAGAUCAAUAGGCGCGCGUUGCGCGCCCUACAAUAAUACGUUGAAACUACAAAGAAAUGAAGAAUAGGGGGUUUAAACUUACAUGGCAUGUAUCAACUAUAAAAGAACCAUUUCGAGCUAGAUUGUUGCUCAA